GACGAACGCUUGCGGCGUGCUUAACACAUGCAAGUCGAACGGAAAGGCCCUGCUUUUGUGGGGUGCUCGAGUGGCGAACGGGUGAGUAACACGUGAGUAACCUGCCCUUGACUUUGGGAUAACUUCAGGAAACUGGGGCUAAUACCGGAUAGGAGCUCCUGCUGCAUGGUGGGGGUUGGAAAGUUUCGGCGGUUGGGGAUGGACUCGCGGCUUAUCAGCUUGUUGGUGGGGUAGUGGCUUACCAAGGCUUUGACGGGUAGCCGGCCUGAGAGGGUGACCGGCCACAUUGGGACUGAGAUACGGCCCAGACUCCUACGGGAGGCAGCAGUGGGGAAUAUUGCACAAUGGGCGGAAGCCUGAUGCAGCAACGCCGCGUGCGGGAUGACGGCCUUCGGGUUGUAAACCGCUUUCGCCUGUGACGAAGCGUGAGUGACGGUAAUGGGUAAAGAAGCACCGGCUAACUACGUGCCAGCAGCCGCGGUGAUACGUAGGGUGCGAGCGUUGUCCGGAUUUAUUGGGCGUAAAGGGCUCGUAGGUGGUUGAUCGCGUCGGAAGUGUAAUCUUGGGGCUUAACCCUGAGCGUGCUUUCGAUACGGGUUGACUUGAGGAAGGUAGGGGAGAAUGGAAUUCCUGGUGGAGCGGUGGAAUGCGCAGAUAUCAGGAGGAACACCAGUGGCGAAGGCGGUUCUCUGGGCCUUUCCUGACGCUGAGGAGCGAAAGCGUGGGGAGCGAACAGGCUUAGAUACCCUGGUAGUCCACGCUGUAAACGGUGGGUACUAGGUGUGGGGUCCAUUCCACGGGUUCCGUGCCGUAGCUAACGCUUUAAGUACCCCGCCUGGGGAGUACGGCCGCAAGGCUAAAACUCAAAGGAAUUGACGGGGCCCCGCACAAGCGGCGGAGCAUGCGGAUUAAUUCGAUGCAACGCGUAGAACCUUACCUGGGUUUGACAUGGAUCGGGAGUGCUCAGAGAUGGGUGUGCCUCUUUUGGGGUCGGUUCACAGGUGGUGCAUGGCUGUCGUCGGCUCGUGUCGUGAGAUGUUGGGUUAAGUCCCGCAACGAGCGCAACCCUUGUUCACUGUUGCCAGCACGUUAUGGUGGGGACUCAAUGGAGACCGCCGGGGUCAACUCGGAGGAAGGUGGGGAUGACGUCAAGUCAUCAUGCCCCUUAUGUCCAGGGCUUCACGCAUGCUACAAUGGCUGGUACAGAGAGUGGCGAGCCUGUGAGGGUGAGCGAAUCUCGGAAAGCCGGUCUCAGUUCGGAUUGGGGUCUGCAACUCGACCUCAUGAAGUCGGAGUCGCUAGUAAUCGCAGAUCAGCAACGCUGCGGUGAAUACGUUCUCGGG
rnacentral:rRNA from 1 species